AACUCUUCAUCUUCUUCCCCGAGUCCGGAUUCCUCGAUUCGUUCAUGUCAAGUGAGAUUUGGGUAUGAACUUGUUCAAGUUCUGUAAAACUUAUGCUCUUCGGUUAGCUCAGUUCUUGCGUCGAUUGUUAGCAGACCGUUGAUCAUUAUGUGCUCUAGUUUUCACCUUUGUGUGGAGUGAAUGUUUCUCUAUAAUUUCUCUGUAGACAGUAGCCGUAGAUGGUUUAUCUUAAGCACUGCAUCGUCAUCGCAAAAUUGUAUUAUAAGCAGCCUCUCUGCCGUAUCUCUGCCGCGGCAGGAAGUUGCGGCACCAUUCUUUGUGGGUAGCCUUAUUCGCAGUAGUUCUUCUUGUUGUCCGUAGCAUCAUUUUAGUUGAUUAUUUCUGUAGUUU
rnacentral:lncRNA from 1 species